rnacentral:rRNA from 1 species
GACGAACGCUGGCGGCGUGCUUAACACAUGCAAGUCGAGCGGAAAGGCCACUUCGGUGGUACUCGAGCGGCGAACGGGUGAGUAACACGAGAGUAAUCUGCCCCUGGCUUUGGGAUAGCCACCGGAAACGGUGAUUAAUACCGGAUAGGACCACUUAUCGCAUGGGAUGGUGGUGGAAAGUUUUUUCGGCCAGGGAUGUGCUCGCGGCCUAUCAGCUUGAUGGUGAGGUAAUGGCUCACCAGGGCUUCUACGGGUAGCCGGCCUGAGAGGGUGACCGGUCACACUGGGACUGAGACACGGCCCAGACUCCUGCGGGAGGCAGCAGUGGGGAAUAUUGGACAAUGGGCGGAAGCCUGAUCCAGCAACGCCGCGUGAUGGAUGACGGCCUUCGUUUUGUAAACCUCUUUCAGCAGGGACUAAGCGUAAGUGACGGUACCUGCAGAAAAAGCACCGGCUAACUACGUGCCAGCCGCCGCCGUAA